rnacentral:ncRNA from 2 species
AAAGUUCUGUGACACUUAGACUCUGAA